CAAAUAGGCGGCCCCGGGCAGCCAUUGCAGCGGCAGAGGGUAGUCCGAGUGGCGGCUGAAAGUGGCCGUGAGAUUGAAGAGGCGGAUGCCCGGGCCGUGACUCAGAAGAAAGUUGUUGAGCGGCGACUCCUCGUGCAAGAGCGCCCAGCUCUGGUGCGCCAGGCGCGGCAGGGGCGCGUCCGCCGCACGGAAGUCCGUGCCGUAAAAGAGCAGUGCGCGCGUCCGCGGGUCGGCGCGCGCCCGUCGAUCCCGGGACGCCACGCACGCGCCGUGCGCACACUGUAUCCGCUCCGAGUCACCUGGGAAGUGCGGAAACAGACCUGGGCUCCACCACAGCAACACUGAAGCCUCGGGCCCGGAGCUGCUGGCCGAACAGACGCUGAGCACACCCAGGGCGGCCAGCACCGCCUCGGUGCAGCGAGCAGCCAUGUCCACACCGGACCCACUCGGACAGCACGAAACCCCGCCCUGCGGCGGGUGGGGAGUGGACUAGGUCCUACGCCAUAGGGGCACGGGGCGCAUGCGUAACCCCUCUUAGCCGCAGGCAGGGUGGGGAGAAGUCGCAAGUAAUGAAAGGGAUACUGGUUACAUCUUAUUUUAUUUCUUUACAAAUUAAAGAUGCAUUGAAAAAUAAACCAAUGAAAAGAAA